rnacentral:lncRNA from 1 species
GAAAUGCGGUCUCUCAUACCGGACGGGGUAUGGAGACCGUAUGUGUUUUAGCGCCCAUACCGGACGGGGUAUGGGGACGGCCCGUUUCACCCUCAUACCGGACGAGGUAUUGAGGUUUACAGUUUUGGCGCCCAUACCGGACGGGGUAUGGGGACGGCCCUGGAAUCUGAUUACAAGUAUUAAGGGUAACGGGUAGCGGGACCCCUAUGGAUCCCCAUGGAUACUAGUAGGCUGGUGAAUGAGGAAAAGUAAUUGUGAAAUGAUGAUUUGUAAAGGCGUGAUAAGUAUUAUGUUACACAGUUUAUGUGAUUUCAUGAUGAUGAUAAUGUUAUUGCUUUCGUAUAUUGUUUUAUGAAUUUCACCGAGGUAAGUGAAUGGUA